UACAGAGGGUGCAAGCGUUGUUCGGAAUUAUUGGGCGUAAAGGGAGUGUAGGCGGUUUGGUAAGUCUUCUGUGAAAUCUACGGGCUUAGCCUGUAACGUGCAGAGGAAACUACCAGGCUUGAGUGUUGGAGAGGAUAGGGGAAUACCCAGUGUAGAGGUGAAAUUCGUAGAGAUUGGGUGGAACACCAGUGGCGAAGGCGCCUAUCUGGCUGACAACUGACGCUGAGACUCGAAAGCAUGGGGAGCAAACAGG
rnacentral:rRNA from 1 species